rnacentral:rRNA from 1 species
AUUGAACGCUGGCGGCAGGCUUAACACAUGCAGGUCGAGCGGAGAUGAGGUGCUUGCACCUUAUCUUAGCGGCGGACGGGUGAGUAAUGCUUAGGAAUCUGCCUAUUAGUGGGGGACAACAUUCCGAAAGGAAUGCUAAUACCGCAUACGUCCUACGGGAGAAAGCAGGGGAUCUUCGGACCUUGCGCUAAUAGAUGAGCCUAAGUCGGAUUAGCUAGUUGGGGGGGUAAAGGCCUACCAAGGCGACGAUCUGUAGCGGGUCUGAGAGGAUGGUCCGCCACACUGGGACUGAGACACGGCCCAGACGCCUACGGGAGGCAGCAGUGGGGAAUAUUGGACAAUGGGGGGAACCCUGAUCCAGCCAUGCCGCGUGUGUGAAGAAGGCCUUAUGGUUGUAAAGCACUUUAAGCGAGGAGGAGGCUACUGAGACUAAUACUCUUGGAUAGUGGACGUUACUCGCAGAAUAAGCACCGGCUAACUCUGUGCCAGCCGCCGCCGUAACAC